CUGUGUGGUUCCCGGGUUGCGCGCCCGGUUACAUUCCGAACCCGGAAGCUAAGCCUUUCAGCGCCGAUGGUACUGCAGGGGGGACCCUGUGGGAGAGUAGGACGCCGCCGAAC
rnacentral:rRNA from 1 species